UGGGGAUGUAGUGCAGCGGUCAGCACUUCCCGCUCUGCACAAGCGGGAAAUAAACGCCAGGUUCGACUCCUGGCCGCUCCAU
rnacentral:tRNA from 2 species